rnacentral:lncRNA from 1 species
AUGCACACACACUCCACCUGCACACACCACACCCACACAGGUGCACACACAUCCAUAUACACACUACACACACAUGUACAAACGCACACACUCCCAUGCACAAAACACCCAUACAUGAAAGUAUGCACACACCACACACAUGCUAUGUUCACAUGUAUGUACGCAUGUGCACACACUCCACCUGUACACAACACACCCAUCCAUGCAGGUAUACACACACACUACAUACACAUGUACACACAUGUACACACUCCACCUGUACACAACACACCCAUCCAUGCAGGUAUACGCACACACACUAUGUACACAUGUACACACAUGUACACACUCCACCUGUACACAACACACCCUUCCAUGCAGGUGUACACACACACACUAUGUACACAUGUACACACAUGUACACACUCCACCUGUACACAACACACCCAUCCAUGCAGGUGUACACACACACACUAUGUACACAUGUACACACAUGUACACACUCCACCUGUACACAACACACCCAUCCAUGCAGGUAUACGCACACACACUAUGUACACAUGUACACACAUGUACACACUCCACCUGUACACAACACACCCAUCCAUGCAGGUGUAUGCACACACACUAUGUACACAUGUACACACAUGUACACACUCCACCUGUACACAACACACCCUUCCAUGCAGGUGUACACACACACACUAUGUACACAUGUACACACAUGUACACACUCCACCUGUACACAACACACCCUUCCAUGCAGGUGUACACACAUCCACACACACUACACACACACAGACACAUGCAUGCACACCCUCCACCUGCACACACCAGACCCAGGCAUACACGUGCACAGGCUUGCACAUAUACACCACACACAAUAGAUGUACAUCUGCUCAUGCAGCCUUGCAGAGACGUGAGACCCUGGGACACUCCCACCCUGGCCAAAAGCAAGCCUUGUGCGGCCAGCUUACCUCCACCGAGUGUGAGCCGAGCGUGUGCCGGGUGGGGGGGCACAGACUGUUCCACUUGAUCCCCAGCCUGCUGAGUUUACCAGUGGAGAAGCAGCCUUGA